CUGAAACAUUUCAACAAAUUUGGUUUUUAUGACAGCCAAAUGUGUGUGUAAUUAUUCCUGUCGAAUGCCGGAAUGGACGCGAAGGGACCUUGGCUGGACUUGGCAGGAAAAUUGCCCCAAACAAUUAUUAUGAUGGUUGAUAAGCCUCACGCACAUACAAACACCCCUCCACAUGUGCAAGUACAUACCACACGUUUGUACCGAAAGCGUGGAGUCGGAAUUUGCUUUGCGUUUAGUCACUCGGCUAUAUCUCGAUCCGAUGUGUGGCGUCGCCUUGCUAUUCCGAUGGAAGCCGCAUGAGAACUGAAAUGUCGCCGAUGGAGGAACACGGCCACUGCGUUGACUGAGGCAGCGACUGGGGCAGCGACUGGGGCAGCGACGCUUGCGGCUCUGCCGGAAAACUCGGAAAAUCGCAGAGUCUGCGCACGAAAAACGCCGAGUGAAUGAAAACAAAAUUAACCCGUACGGCGGCAACAGUAGUUUUAAUAACCAAUAUAUUCAAAGAUUUACGAAUAAACAUGCAUAUUUUUUA
rnacentral:sRNA from 1 species